rnacentral:rRNA from 1 species
GAUGAACGCUGGCGGCGUGCCUAAUACAUGCAAGUCGAGCGAACAGAUGAGGAGCUUGCUCCUCUGACGUUAGCGGCGGACGGGUGAGUAACACGUGGAUAACCUACCUAUAAGACUGGGAUAACUUCGGGAAACCGGAGCUAAUACCGGAUAAUAUAUUGAACCGCAUGGUUCAAUAGUGAAAGACGGUUUUGCUGUCACUUAUAGAUGGAUCCGCGCCGCAUUAGCUAGUUGGUAAGGUAACGGCUUACCAAGGCAACGAUGCGUAGCCGACCUGAGAGGGUGAUCGGCCACACUGGAACUGAGACACGGUCCAGACUCCUACGGGAGGCAGCAGUAGGGAAUCUUCCGCAAAGGGCGAAAGCCUGACGGAGCAACGCCGCGUGAGUGAUGAAGGUCUUCGGAUCGUAAAACUCUGUUAUUAGGGAAGAACAAAUGUGUAAGUAACUAUGCACGUCUUGACGGUACCUAAUCAGGAAGCCACGACUAACUACGUG